UACACACCGCCCGUCACACCAUGGGAGUGGGUUUCACCAGAAGCCGGUCGCCUAACCGCAAGGAGGGCGCCGACUACGGUGAGAUUCAUGACUGGGGUG
rnacentral:rRNA from 1 species